GUCGAGAAUCAUUCACAAUGGGGGAAACCCUGAUGGUGUGACGCCGCGUGGAGGAUGAAGGUCUUCGGAUUGUAAACUCCUGUCAUGUGGGAGUAAAGCCGGGUGUUAAAUGCAUGCCGGUCUGAGAGUACCACAAGAGGAAGGGACGGCUAACUCUGUGCCAGCAGCCGCGGUAAUACAGAGGUCCCAAGCGUUGUUCGGAAUCACUGGGCGUAAAGGGUGCGUAGGCGGCGCGGAAAGUCAGGGGUGAAAUCCCGGAGCUCAACUCCGGAACUGCCUUUGAUACUCCCGCGCUUGAGAACUGGAGGGGAGACCGGAAUUCUCGGUGUAGCAGUGAAAUGCGUGGAUAUCGAGAGGAACACUCGUGGCGAAGGCGAGUCACUGGACAACAUCUGACGCUGAGGCUCGAAGGCCAGGGGAGCAAAAGGGAUUAGAAACCCCUGUAGUCC
rnacentral:rRNA from 1 species